rnacentral:snoRNA from 1 species
AACCUAUGGUGAGGGCACCUUCUAAAAAUAUCCUUGUCUCUCCCAUGGAUUAUAGAGUGUUUCUAAAUCCAUCUGCACAAAAAAAGAGAUAUCAUUCCUCAAUUU